UUUACUGGCAGUUUUUCCCCCUCAACGAUGAUAUUAAGCACCGACAACCUGAAACUAGAGCUAUUAUGAACUGGAUAAAGCAAGAACACUUCACAGCCUCUGCUAGUUUGCAUGGGGGUGCUCUUGUUGCAAAUUAUCCAUGGGAUGGAUCUAGAGAUACAAGGACCAUCAAGAUAGAUAAGCAGCACACAGCUAAAGUUUUAUGAGCAGCUGAUCAACAGUCGUGCACAUAAUGGGCUGUUAAUCAAUAUAUCGUAAGUGGCGCUGUUGGAGCCCUUGGAUUUUAAUGUCAUACAAUGUUAUCUUGUAAUGCAAUA